GAUGAACGCUGGCGGCGUGCUUAACACAUGCAAGUCGAGUGAAGCACUCUGAUUACUUCGGUUUGAAGAGUGACUGAGCGGCGGACGGGUGAGUAACGCGUGGGUAACCUGCCUCACACAGGGGGAUAACAGUGAGAAAUGACUGCUAAUACCGCAUAAGACCACAGCACCGCAUGGUGCAGGGGUAAAAACUCCGGUGGUGUGAGAUGGACCCGCGUCUGAUUAGCUAGUUGGUGAGGUAACGGCUCACCAAGGCGACGAUCAGUAGCCGACCUGAGAGGGUGACCGGCCACAUUGGGACUGAGACACGGCCCAAACUCCUACGGGAGGCAGCAGUGGGGAAUAUUGCACAAUGGGCGAAAGCCUGAUGCAGCGACGUCGCGUGAAGGAUGAAGUAUUUCGGUAUGUAAACUUCUAUCAGCAGGGAAGAAAAUGACGGUACCUGACUAAGAAGCCCCGGCUAACUACGUGCCAGCCGCCGCAGUAACAC
rnacentral:rRNA from 1 species